rnacentral:tRNA from 1 species
UCCUUGGUGGCUCAGAUGGUAAAGCAUCUGCCUGCAAUGCGGGAGACCUGGGUUCGAUCCCUGGAUUGGGAA